rnacentral:rRNA from 1 species
GAUGAACGCUGGCGGCGUGCCUAAUACAUGCAAGUCGAGCGAACGGACGAGAAGCUUGCUUCUCUGAUGUUAGCGGCGGACGGGUGAGUAACACGUGGAUAACCUACCUAUAAGACUGGGAUAACUUCGGGAAACCGGAGCUAAUACCGGAUAAUAUUUUGAACCGCAUGGUUCAAAAGUGAAAGACGGUCUUGCUGUCACUUAUAGAUGGAUCCGCGCUGCAUUAGCUAGUUGGUAAGGUAACGGCUUACCAAGGCAACGAUGCAUAGCCGACCUGAGAGGGUGAUCGGCCACACUGGAACUGAGACACGGUCCAGACUCCUACGGGAGGCAGCAGUAGGGAAUCUUCCGCAAUGGGCGAAAGCCUGACGGGGCAACGCCGCGUGAGUGAUGAAGGUCUUCGGAUCGUAAAACUCUGUUAUUAGGGAAGAACAUAUGUGUAAGUAACUGUGCACAUCUUGACGGUACCUAAUCAGAAAGCCACGGCUAACUACGUGCCAGCAGCCGCGGUAAUACGUAGGUGGCAAGCGUUAUCCGGAAUUAUUGGGCGUAAAGCGCGCGUAGGCGGUUUUUUAAGUCUGAUGUGAAAGCCCACGGCUCAACCGUGGAGGGUCAUUGGAAACUGGAAAACUUGAGUGCAGAAGAGGAAAGUGGAAUUCCAUGUGUAGCGGUGAAAUGCGCAGAGAUAUGGAGGAACACCAGUGGCGAAGGCGACUUUCUGGUCUGUAACUGACGCUGAUGUGCGAAAGCGUGGGGAUCAAACAGGAUUAGAUACCCUGGUAGUCCACGCCGUAAACGAUGAGUGCUAAGUGUUAGGGGGUUUCCGCCCCUUAGUGCUGCAGCUAACGCAUUAAGCACUCCGCCUGGGGAGUACGACCGCAAGGUUGAAACUCAAAGGAAUUGACGGGGACCCGCACAAGCGGUGGAGCAUGUGGUUUAAUUCGAAGCAACGCGAAGAACCUUACCAAAUCUUGACAUCCUUUGACAACUCUAGAGAUAGAGCUUUCCCCUUCGGGGGACAAAGUGACAGGUGGUGCAUGGUUGUCGUCAGCUCGUGUCGUGAGAUGUUGGGUUAAGUCCCGCAACGAGCGCAACCCUUAAGCUUAGUUGCCAUCAUUAAGUUGGGCACUCUAAGUUGACUGCCGGUGACAAACCGGAGGAAGGUGGGGAUGACGUCAAAUCAUCAUGCCCCUUAUGAUUUGGGCUACACACGUGCUACAAUGGACAAUACAAAGGGCAGCGAAACCGCGAGGUCAAGCAAAUCCCAUAAAGUUGUUCUCAGUUCGGAUUGUAGUCUGCAACUCGACUACAUGAAGCUGGAAUCGCUAGUAAUCGUAGAUCAGCAUGCUACGGUGAAUACGUUCCCGGGUCU